rnacentral:rRNA from 1 species
UCCGAAUGGGGAAACCCAGUGUGUUUCGACACACUAUCAUUAACUGAAUCCAUAGGUUAAUGAGGCGAACCGGGGGAACUGAAACAUCUAAGUACCCCGAGGAAAAGAAAUCAACCGAGAUUCCCCCAGUAGCGGCGAGCGAACGGGGAGCAGCCCAGAGCCUGAAUCAGUGUGUGUGUUAGUGGAAGCGUCUGGAAAGGCGCGCGAUACAGGGUGACAGCCCCGUACACAAAAAUGCACAUGCUGUGAGCUCGAUGAGUAGGGCGGGACACGUGGUAUCCUGUCUGAAUAUGGGGGGACCAUCCUCCAAGGCUAAAUACUCCUGACUGACCGAUAGUGAACCAGUACCGUGAGGGAAAGGCGAAAAGAACCCCGGCGAGGGGAGUGAAAAAGAACCUGAAACCGUGUAC